UUGCUUCUCUGGAUGAGUUGCGAACGGGUGAGUAACGCGUAGGUAACCUGCCUGGUAGCGGGGGAUAACUAUUGGAAACGAUAGCUAAUACCGCAUAACAGUAGAUGUUGCAUGACAUUUGCUUAAAAGGUGCAAUUGCAUCACUACCAGAUGGACCUGCGUUGUAUUAGCUAGUUGGUGGGGUAACGGCUCACCAAGGCGACGAUACAUAGCCGACCUGAGAGGGUGAUCGGCCACACUGGGACUGAGACACGGCCCAGACUCCUACGGGAGGCAGCAGUAGGGAAUCUUCGGCAAUGGACGGAAGUCUGACCGAGCAACGCCGCGUGAGUGAAGAAGGUUUUCGGAUCGUAAAGCUCUGUUGUAAGAGAAGAACGAGUGUGAGAGUGGAAAGUUCACACUGUGACGGUAUCUUACCAGAAAGGGACGGCUAACUACGUGCCAGCAGCCGCGGUAAUACGUAGGUCCCGAGCGUUGUCCGGAUUUAUUGGGCGUAAAGCGAGCGCAGGCGGUUAGAUAAGUCUGAAGUUAAAGGCUGUGGCUUAACCAUAGUACGCUUUGGAAACUGUUUAACUUGAGUGCAAGAGGGGAGAGUGGAAUUCCAUGUGUAGCGGUGAAAUGCGUAGAUAUAUGGAGGAACACCGGUGGCGAAAGCGGCUCUCUGGCUUGUAACUGACGCUGAGGCUCGAAAGCGUGGGGAGCAAACAGG
rnacentral:rRNA from 1 species